rnacentral:rRNA from 1 species
GAUGAACGCUAGCUGGAGGCUUAAUACAUGCAAGUCGAGCGGGAUUGGUAGCAAUACCAUGAGAGCGGCGCACGGGUGAGUAACGCGUACACGACCUACCUCUGACAGGGGGAUAGCCCUGGGAAACUGGGAUUAAUACCGCAUAUUAUUCUGAUUAAUAAAGGAUUGGAAUGAAAGUUCAGGCGGUCAGAGAUGGGUGUGCGUCUGAUUAGCUAGUUGGUGGGGUAACGGCCUACCAAGGCGAUGAUCAGUAGGGGGCGUGAGAGCGUGGUCCCCCACACGGGUACUGAGACACGGACCCGACUCCUACGGGAGGCAGCAGUAAGGAAUAUUGGACAAUGGCCGCAAGGCUGAUCCAGCCAUCCAGCGUGCAGGAAGAAGGCCCUAUGGGUUGUAAACUGCUUAUAUCAGGGAAGAAACCUCUGGAUUUACUCCGGAGCUGACGGUACCUGAAGAAUAAGCACCGGCUAACUCCGUGCCAGCAGCCGCGGUAACAC